rnacentral:rRNA from 1 species
GACGAACGCUGGCGGCGUGCUUAACACAUGCAAGUCGAACGGUAAGGCCCUUCGGGGUACACGAGUGGCGAACGGGUGAGUAACACGUGGGUGAUCUGCCCUGCACUUCGGGAUAAGCCUGGGAAACUGGGUCUAAUACCGGAUAGGACCACUGCCUGCAUGGGUGGUGGUGGAAAGCUUUUGCGGUGUGGGAUGGGCCCGCGGCCUAUCAGCUUGUUGGGGGGGUGAUGGCCUACCAAGGCGACGACGGGUAGCCGGCCUGAGAGGGUGACCGGCCACACUGGGACGGAGAUACUGCGCAGACGCCUACGGGAGGGAGCAGUGGGGAAUAUGGCACAAUGGGCGCAAGCCUGAUGCAGCGACGCCGCGUGAGGGAUGACGGCCUUCGGGUUGUAAACCUCUUUCAGCACCGACGAAGCGCAAGUGACGGUAGGUGCAGAAGAAGGACCGGCCAACUACGUGCCAGCAGCCGCGGUAA